rnacentral:rRNA from 1 species
UACGUAGGGUGCGAGCGUUAAUCGGAAUUACUGGGCGUAAAGCGUGCGCAGGCGGUUGGUUAAGUCUGAUGUGAAAUCCCCGGGCUCAACCUGGGAACUGCAUUUGUGACUGCACGGCUGGAGUGCGGCAGAGGGGGAUGGAAUUCCGCGUGUAGCAGUGAAAUGCGUAGAUAUGCGGAGGAACACCGAUGGCGAAGGCAAUCCCCUGGGCCUGCACUGACGCUCAUGCACGAAAGCGUGGGGAGCAAACAGG